UGCAGUUCGUCCGAUGGUAGAUGCAUGUGGCUACUAUACAGAAAUGGAGCCGUUUCUGCCCCCUCGCCGGUCACCCUUGCCUUCUUCUUCUCCCAGUCCUGCCUGCGCAGCAACUCACGCGUAAGAGAGCAUGUACAGUCUGCACUUGCAGUACACCGCGCUCACCUUCCACCCGCGUGGUCUCCACGGCCAUCUCCUGCCACCAAGCCCAGCGACCCCUCUCCAUUCCGCUGCCGCUCACCACCGUCUCCAGCUCUUGCGGCGGCCGCCGCAGGGCUCCGAUUCGCCUAUGCCCCCCGCGCCUCCGCCGCCGGAAACCCACGCCCCGAACCGCAGGAUGAUCCCCGGCCGAAGGGCGGGUUCUGGGCCAAGUGGACGGUGGAGAGCGCGGAGAUGAGGGCGAGGGUGGCCAAGCUCGGCCUGGCCGCCGUGCUGGCCUACGGGCUGUUCGACGCCGUCACCUACACGACCUUCUUCGUGCUCGCCUUUCUCGGCUACGAGAAGAGCACCGGCAAGAACCCCGCGGCCAACAUCAAGGCCUUGCUGGGGAUAGUUAUCCUAAUGUGGACUGGUAACAACGUUACGAGGCCGUUCCGAGUUGCCGGUGCUGCUGCUUUGGCACCAGUAAUCGACAAAGGGUUGAAGGGUAUGCAGGAGAAACUUAAUCUUCCGAGCCAGAUGUAUGCUUUCCUGCUUGUAGUUGGAACUGUGGCUUUGGUAUGCUUCACAGUUGUUGGUUUCCUGAUCCUCUCAAAAUGGGGAAAGUGAAGACCGAAGUGUCAAUCCUACUGUGGCAACCAUAUUUGUUCAAUUCCUGGCCCUGACAUGGUCAUAUUCUCCUUUAACAUUCAAGUCUAAUAAGAGAAGAUCCUCAGUUUUUGGCGUGCAUUUGACAUUCUUAGCCUGCUGACUUUGUACAUGGUAGAGCUGAAAAUCUAAAUUGUUAUCAUUAAGAUUGUCAUCAGAUAUGGCUUUCAUCAAAUGUUCACUGUUUUCUUCAUACACAUGUGUUCCGUUC